rnacentral:rRNA from 1 species
GAAACGACUGCUAAGACUGGAUAGGAAGUUUUAAGGCAUCUUGAAACUUUUAAAAGACCCGCAAGGGUAUGCUGAGAGAUGGGCUUGCGGCACAUUAGUUAGUUGGUAAGGUAACGGCUUACCAAGACCAUGAUGUGUAGCUGGACUGAGAGGUUGAACGGCCACAUUGGGACUGAGAUACGGCCCAAACUCCUACGGGAGGCAGCAGUAAGGAAUUUUCGGCAAUGGAGGAAACUCUGACCGAGCAACGCCGCGUGAACGAUGAAGCAUUUAGGUAUGUAAAGUUCUUUUAUUAAAGAAGAAAAAAUGAUGGAAAAAUCAUUCUGACGGUAUUUAAUGAAUAAGCCCCGGCUAACUAUGUGCCAGCAGCUGCGGUAAUACAUGGGGGGCAAGCGUUAUCCGGAUUUAUUGGGCGUAAAGGGUGCGUAGGCGGUUUAAUAAGUCUAUGGUCUAAGUUCAACGCUUAACGUUGUGAUGCUAUAGAAACUGUUUGACUAGAGUUGGAUAGAGGCAAGUGGAAUUCCAUGUGUAGCGGUAAAAUGCGUAAAGAUAUGGAGGAACACCAGUAGCGAAGGCGGCUUGCUGGGUCUUAACUGACGCUGAGGCACGAAAGCGUGGGGAGCAAACAGGAUUAGAUACCCUGGUAGUCCACGCCGUAAACGAUGAGUACUAAGUGUUGGGUUAAACCAGUGCUGAAGUUAACGCAUUAAGUACUCCGCCUGAGUAGUACGUACGCAAGUAUGAAACUUAAAGGAAUUGACGGGACUCCGCACAAGCGGUGGAUCAUGUUGUUUAAUUCGAAGAUACACGAAAAACCUUACCAGGUCUUGACAUACUCUGCAAAGCUAUAGAAAUAUAGUGGAGGUUAUCAGGGAUACAGGUGGUGCAUGGUUGUCGUCAGCUCGUGUCGUGAGAUGUUGGGUUAAGUCCCGCAACGAGCGCAACCCUUAUCGCUAGUUACCAUCAUUUAGUUGGGCACUUUAGUGAGACUGCCAAUGAUAAAUUGGAGGAAGGUGGGGAUUACGUCAAAUCAUCAUGCCCCUUAUGACCUGGGCUACAAACGUGAUACAAUGGCUGUUACAAAGAGUAGCUGAAGCGUGAGUUUUUAGCAAAUCUCAAAAAAACAGUCUCAGUUCGGAUUGAAGUCUGCAACUCGACUUCAUGAAGUCGGAAUCGCUAGUAAUCGCGAAUCAGCAUGUCGUGGUGAAUACGUUCUCGGGGUUUGUACACACCGCCCGU